CAGUCGCCGCGGGAAUACGAAGGGUGCAAGCGUUAAUCGGAAUUACUGGGCGUAAAGCGUGCGUAGGCGGUUUGUUAAGUCUGCUGUGAAAUCCCCGGGCUCAACCUGGGAAUGGCAGUGGAUACUGGCAAGCUAGAGUGCGUCAGAGGAUGGUGGAAUUCCCGGUGUAGCGGUGAAAUGCGUAGAGAUCGGGAGGAACAUCAGUGGCGAAGGCGGCCAUCUGGGACAACACUGACGCUGAGGCACGAAAGCGUGGGGAGCAAACAGGAUUAGAUACCCCCGUAGUCCCUGUCUCUUAUAC
rnacentral:rRNA from 1 species